CAGACUGACAUCAAUUGAUAAUUACUACACCAAACAAAGAUAAAAGCUGUGGAUGUCCGUUCUGAUCCUGAGAUCAAUCAUGAGUCAAAUACUAUUCAUUUUAAUUGCCUCUUUGCCAUAUGUUCUUGGCAUCUCUCUGACCUCGUCUCCUGCACAGAUUAAAGCUCCUGGUGAAUCAGUGAGGUUGUCCUGUCAGAUCUCUGGAUAUUCACUCAGUGAUUAUGGCACAGCAUGGAUCAGACAGAAUUCUGGAAAAGGCAUGCAGUGGAUCGGGAUCAUAUGGGGUGGUGGAUCAAUAGACCUUGGAAAUUCCUUCAAGAGUCGCUUCACUAUAUCCAGAGACACAAACCGUAAUGAGCUUUUCUUAGACAUCAGCAGUCUGCAGACUGAGGACACAGCUGUGUAUUUCUGUGCAAAGACUGCCACAGUGGCUCAUCUCAGUGUGAGAAACUGACAAAAACACAUCUAUAGAUCAUCCAAGUGUGCAAAACAUUUACAGUUAUCAACACACACCUUCUUCUCUACCAGCUCAGGAUGAUGUUUAGACAUAGUAGAGAGUAAAUUAUUAUUCUAUAUAAUAGAGUACCUGAAUAGAAAACAAUUUUCUGUUAAUUAUUUGUAAAAUAAGCAAUCAAACUGUUCUGUUUCAAACAAAAAACUGUAUUAUUUUA